rnacentral:rRNA from 1 species
AUUGAACGCUGGCGGCAGGCCUAACACAUGCAAGUCGAGCGGAUGAAGGGAGCUUGCUCCUGGAUUCAGCGGCGGACGGGUGAGUAAUGCCUAGGAAUCUGCCUGGUAGUGGGGGAUAACGUCCGGAAACGGGCGCUAAUACCGCAUACGUCCUGAGGGAGAAAGUGGGGGAUCUUCGGACCUCACGCUAUCAGAUGAGCCUAGGUCGGAUUAGCUAGUUGGUGGGGUAAAGGCCUACCAAGGCGACGAUCCGUAACUGGUCUGAGAGGAUGAUCAGUCACACUGGAACUGAGACACGGUCCAGAAUCCUACGGGAGGCAGGAGUGGGGAAUAUUGGAACAUGGGCGAAAGCCUGAUCCAGCCAUGGCGCGUGUGUGAAGAAGGUCUUCGGAUUGUAAAGCACUUUAAGUUGGGAGGAAGGGCAGUAAGUUAAUACCUUGCUGUUUUGACGGUACCAAAAGAAUAAGCAACGGCUAACUUCGUG